rnacentral:rRNA from 1 species
AGACGAACCGGACAAACGUUAUUCGGAAUUACUGGGCUUAAAGGGUGCGUAGGCGGCACGACAGGUGGGAUGUGAAAUCCCCCGGCUUAACCGGGGAACUGCGUUCCAAACCGUCGAGCUUGAGAGAGACAGAGGUGAGCGGAACUUGCAGUGGAGCGGUGAAAUGCGUUGAUAUUGCAAGGAACACCAGUGGCGAAGGCGGCUCACUGGGUCUCUUCUGACGCUGAGGCACGAAAGCUAGGGGAGCGAACGGGAUUAGAUACCCCAGUAGUCC